UACGUAGGGUGCAAGCGUUGUCCGGAAUUAUUGGGCGUAAAGAGCUCGUAGGCGGUCUGUCGCGUCGGCUGUGAAAACCCGGGGCUCAACCCCGGGCCUGCAGUCGAUACGGGCAGACUAGAGUGCGGUAGGGGAGACUGGAAUUCCUGGUGUAGCGGUGAAAUGCGCAGAUAUCAGGAGGAACACCGGUGGCGAAGGCGGCUCACUGGUCCGGUACUGACGCUGAGGUGCGAAAGCUAGGGGAGCAAACAGG
rnacentral:rRNA from 1 species